AGACAUUUAAUGAGGAACGACUUGCCAGAGCCAGCAGUUCCACUGACCACUAGUCGAAGAGGUGUAUAUGGCCGUGACAAAUAUUUAUCCAGAGGUGUACUUUUUGUGCAAGUGUUGCCAGUUUUUUCAAGUACCCUGGACCCAGACAUGCUUACUGACUGAAACUGGUGACUGCUGUGAAACAAAGAUUCAGGUGGUGCGGGUGCAUUUUCCUCGGGAGGAGGCCACAGAUCCUUGUUUGGAUAACCAG